GACGAACGCUGGCGGCGUGCCUAAUACAUGCAAGUUGAGCGCUGAAGGUUGGUACUUGUACCAACUGGAUGAGCAGCGAACGGGUGAGUAACGCGUGGGGAAGCUGCCUUUGAGCGGGGGACAACAUUUGGAAACGAAUGCUAAUACCGCAUAAAAACUUUAAACACAAGUUUUAAGUUUGAAAGAUGCAAUUGCAUCACUCAAAGAUGAUCCCGCGUUGUAUUAGCUAGUUGGUGAGGUAAAGGCUCACCAAGGCGAAGAUACAUAGCCGACCUGAGAGGGUGGACGGCCACAUUGGGACUGAGACACGCCCCAAACACCUACGGGAGGCGGCAGACGGGGACCUUCGGCAAUGGACGAAAGACUGACCGAGCAACACCGCGUGAGUGAAGAAUGUUGUCGGAUCGUAAAACUCUGUUGGUAGAGAAGAAAGUUUGUGAGAGUGGAAAGCUCAUCAAGUGACGGGAACUACCCAGAAAGGGACGGCUCACUCCGUG
rnacentral:rRNA from 1 species